CCACACAGGUGGUCAGGUAGAGAAUACCGAGGCGAUCGGGCGAACUGUGGUUAAGGAACUCGGCAAAUUACCCCCGUAACUUCGGGAGAAGGGGGGCCACAGACUGUCAUACCCCACGCGGGUGGCAGCAGUAGGUGGCCGCAGAGACCAGGGGGAAGCGACUGUUUACUAAAAACACAGGUCCGUGCGAAGUCGUAAGACGAUGUAUACGGACUGACGCCUGCCCGGUGCUGGAACGUUAAGGGGACCGGUUAGUCCGCAAGGGCGAAGCUGAGAACUUAAGCGCCAGUAAACGGCGGUGGUAACUAUAACCAUCCUAAGGUAGCGAAAUUCCUUGUCGGGUAUUUCCGACCUGCACGAAUGGCGUAACGACUUCCCUACUGUCUCAACCACAGGCCCGGCGAAAUUGCACUACGAGUAAAGAUGCUCGUUUCGCGCGGAAGGACGGAAAGACCCCGGGACCUUCACUAUAGCUUGACAUUGGUAUCCGAAUUUAAUUGUGUAGGAUAGGUGAGAGGCUUUGAUCCGCGGACGCCAGUCCGUCGGGGAGCCAACGUUGAAAUACCACUCUGUUGAAUUUGGGUAUCUAACUUCGGACCGUGAUCCGGUUCAGGGACAGUGUCUGGUGGGUAGUUUAACUGGGGCGGUUGCCUCCUAAAAUGUAACGGAGGCGCCCAAAGGUUCCCUCAGCCCGGUUGGCAAUCAGGUGUUGAGUGCAAGUGCACAAGGGAGCUUGACUGUGAGACUGACAGGUCGAGCAGGGACGAAAGUCGGGACUAGUGAUCCGGCACCUGCGAGUGGAAGCGGUGUCGCUCAACGGAUAAAAGGUACCCCGGGGAUAACAGGCUGAUCUUCCCCAAGAGUCCAUAUCGACGGGAUGGUUUGGCACCUCGAUGUCGGCUCGUCGCAUCCUGGGGCUGGAGUAGGUCCCAAGGGUUGGGCUGUUCGCCCAUUAAAGCGGCACGCGAGCUGGGUUUAGAACGUCGUGAGACAGUUCGGUCCCUAUCCUCCGCGCGCGUAGGAGACUUGAGAAGAGCUGUCCCUAGUACGAGAGGACCGGGACGGACGAACCUCUGGUGUGCCAGUUGUCAUGCCAAUGGCACGGCUGGUUAGCUACGUUCGGAAGGGAUAACCGCUGAAAGCAUCUAAGCGGGAAGCUCGCUUCAAGAUGAGGUCUCCCACCCCUUCGAGGGUUAAGGCCCCCAGCUAGACCACUGGGUUGAUAGGCCAGAAGUGUAAGCCUGGUAACAGGUUCAGCCGACUGGUACUAAUAGGCCGAGGACUC
rnacentral:rRNA from 1 species